rnacentral:lncRNA from 1 species
GGUGACGCGUGCGCCGGCCGGCCGCCGAGGGGCUACCGUUCUGCCUCCGACCGGUCGUGUAAAUACUAGGCUUUAGAAUUUCACCUUAUGAAUUUUGGGAGAGAGGAGCACAGUUCAGCCCAUAACUAACACACGUGAUGAAGAAGACAUGCCAACAGAGGGUUAAUUCCAGAUAAAAUGAAAUGUUCCAAACAGUACGUUUGGUUAUUUGAUCCAUCUGUGGGGGAAGGAAAGAUAAUUUUCCAAAGGACAUUCCUCCUAAAUUCUGUCUUAAAGUUGUUUACGGAAUGAAGUUGAUAAUAGUGAGACCUUGUUGGUACAAGACUCUGUAACAUAACCUGCGCUUCUCAACAAAGAAUUGCUUUUCUGACUUCUGCACUCAACUACUCAACAUGAAGGCAAUAAGAAUGAAGACCUUUAUGUAUAAUAAUUGACUUCCACUUAAUAAAUAAGGUUACUUGGUACACUGGUCGACAAAACCUUGAAAUGUUGAUGUUUAAGGGCUGUUGAUUGCUGGCAACAAAGAAGUCCAACUGUGCUGGUACCCGAGAUAGCGUCUCCACAUUUUCUUCCAGGAUCAUCACCUUUGUUGUAAAUAGCUCCCACAUAGUGUGAACAGAAGUCAUAUGUUUUAGAUUUUCUGCCUUGGCACCC